GGAGCAACGCGGCGUGAGUGAAGAAGGUUUUCGGAUCGUAAAGCUCUGUUGUUGGUGAAGAAGGAUAGAGGUAGUAACUGGCCUUUAUUUGACGGUAAUCAACCAGAAAGUCACGGCUAACUACGUGCCAGCAGCCGCGGUAAUACGUAGGUGGCAAGCGUUGUCCGGAUUUAUUGGGCGUAAAGCGAGCGCAGGCGGAAAAAUAAGUCUAAUGUGAAAGCCCUCGGCUUAACCGAGGAAUUGCAUCGGAAACUGUUUUUCUUGAGUGCAGAAGAGGAGAGUGGAACUCCAUGUGUAGCGGUGGAAUGCGUAGAUAUAUGGAAGAACACCAGUGGCGAAGGCGGCUCUCUGGUCUGCAACUGACGCUGAGGCUCGAAAGCAUGGGUAGCGAACAGGAUUAGAUACCCUGGUAGUCCAUGCCGUAAACGAUGAGUGCUAAGUGUUGGGAGGUUUCCGCCUCUCAGUAGCUGCAGCUAACGCAUUAAGCACUCCGCCUGGGGAGUACGACCGCAAGGUUGAAACUCAAAGGAAUUGACGGGGGCCCGCACAAGCGGUGGAGCAUGUGGUUUAAUUCGAAGCAACGCGAAGAACCUUACCAGGUCUUGACAUCUAG
rnacentral:rRNA from 1 species